AGGAACACCAUCGUUGCGCGUUCUCUAUCAGAUCUUCACCCUUUCUCUCUUAACCCUAGCCUCGCCCAACUUUCAUCUAACCCUCAGCAAUGUGGAUGGCUCUGGCCACACGCGUCGGCUGCCUGCCUUGCUCCCAAUGAGAGCCUCCCACAAAGGUCCUCAUUGGUGACCGUCCCUUUCUCCUCUAUCGUCAUGUCGGGCUUUUGCCGAGCGAUCGUGUUUGCUACUUCUGGUUUGCCCCUCAUAUGCUCCUCCUCCAGCCCUUCACAAUCGAACCUCUUCCGACAGAUCUCACCCGAGAUCCAUGGCCAUGCCUUUUUGUGACUGGAUAGCUUUUGUUAAAGUGAGGUCAUCCUGAGAUGUUGUCAACUCUGGUGGCCGCUAAGUUUGUCAGCCUUGAUGCUGCUUCGCUUCUUCUGCCAUGUGUUGCUUCUACCUUGAUAAUGUUUCCAUUAUUGCUCGUCUACUGGGACCAGCACCUGAGAUCGCUUUGCUCCUCAGUGGCCGGGAACGGUAUGGGUUUCAUGGUGGCUACGGCUUCUCCGCUUCUAUGUGGCUUGGAUCGAGCUCGGCCCGAUCAUAUAUGGUCGGAUCUUGCCCAGAUCUGAUUGGAUCUAGCUUGAUCCAACUAGAUCUGGUCUAGAUUCAACUUGAUCUGAUCGGGCCUAGUUUUGAUUUGGGUCUACAGGAGUGGCCUACCAACUUGUCACAAGUCAAACCACUGGCCAAAAAUAUAUAAGCCCCGAUUGUCAGUAAUCCUAUAGGUGUUUUCCCUGGCUCCGCUAGAUUGCUCGGCUCAUGGUAUGCUAUUGGCUAGAUUGGUUGGCUCCAAGGUGCCUUCCUUUGCUCUGCUGGAUUUAGUCGGUUCCUAGUGUCUUUCAUGGCUCGGGCUUCCCGUCUGAUAUGUCGGCCCAACUCUGUGAAGGGUUCUUAGCGCACUAGUACAACUCGAGGCUUUUCCUGCUUUGCUCUGAUGUUCAUAUUCCUUCGGAUUGUUGACAUAGAAAUAUGAGACCUACAUGGUUUAUGACUUGAGGACCCUCCUUCCAGUUUAUCGAGGUCCAUGUGGGUCAGCAGGAGGUCUUGAAUUGGGACUUCGGAUUGACUGCUGCAUUAUUUUUGUGAUCAUCUGCUUGAUAUUUUCACAUAUUAUUUCCUAUGUAGUUUACCAAGAUGGCCUCUCUGAUUAUUUCCAAUCUUGUAAUUUUCUAUCUCUUGAGCGUUUUGUAAUGCACUAUUUUCAGUAAUGAAUGAAUCCUCAUUACUUCCACGCAAAAAAA